AGGAAGGUAGUGUAGUUAACACCUGCAUUAUUUGACGUUACCUACAGAAGAAGCACCGGCUAACUCCGUGCCAGCAGCCGCGGUAAUACGGAGGGUGCGAGCGUUAAUCGGAAUUACUGGGCGUAAAGCGCAUGCAGGCGGCCUGUUAAGUCAGAUGUGAAAGACCCGGGGCUUAACCUCGGAAUUGCAUUUGAAACUGGCAGGCUAGAGUCUUGUAGAGGGGGGUAGGAAUUUCAGGUGUAGCGGUGAAAUGCGUAGAGAUCUGAAGGAAUACCAGUGGCGAAGGCGGCCCCCUCGGACAAAGACUGACGCUCAGAUGCGAAAGCGUGGGGAGCAAACAGGAUUAGAUACCCCUGGUAG
rnacentral:rRNA from 1 species